UUUAUUUCAGUUUUAUGCAUCACUUCUGUGGUCCUGUGGAAGUAGCCAGCACUAUCCUCCUGUCUAGUACUUGCUAUAUGGACGGGGAAUGAAAAAUGGAUCAAGAUGUAGCACUUUCAGCACCGUAUCUGCUGAUUGCCACCGUGUCACAACCUGGUGAUAGUGGACUAAACCUCUGAAAAUCAACUCCAAGCAUAGACAACUCUGUGUUCCUUCUGGGCUCCAACUCUGGGACAAAGCUUUCACCACCCAGCCCAGACUGUGAAGAAGGACUGGCAUGCUUCAUGAGACUUUGAUCUUUAAACAAAUCAUGUCCAGGCUGCCCUCUGAGUACAAUUUAUCCAGUAUCUAUUUCUGCUUUGUGGAUUCCCAUCUGCCACCCUUUCUACAGCAAAGAGCUCCUACACUCUCAGAGUUGAGCAUAUAGCCUUGGCUUAUCGUAUCUGUGAUAACGUGAGGGGAAACGAGUAAAGGGAAUUCUUCAGAGAUCUGAGUUUCCUUUUGUUCCUGGGCAGUUAGUUAAUGAUCUGCCAGCAAUCCCUACUCUUGUGGAGAUCAGGACUAUGUUCCAUCACGUGCCUAAAGGCUCAGGCCAGAGGGCAUGUUGUACACAGGGGAACUUAUCUCUGACCUCCUUUGCUUCAUCUUUAAAGUCUAACAGUUUGUGGUUUUGUAUCUUCCCAGUUCUCAGUUCUCUGCGUUGUUAUGUUUCUCCAUUUCUAGUCUUGGGGGUAAAUGAGAAUGUCUUCCAUUAGGGAGAAAGAAACCUUGUAGUUUACACAACAAAAUUUCACAGAAAGCUGCUGCCCCCAUGCCUGCUCAUUGCAUUUCCUUCUCCUCUCCAGUCAUUUCUCAACUUCCAGAGUAGCAUAGUGUGGUGUCAUCUGAUAAUCCAAUAUGUUUGGAGGGCUUUCUCAGGCCUGAACCUCCACACUCUGGCAGACGUAUUGCCCACUUAUGUCUUUUGUAGAGCUGGUUACAACUCCUGAUGUGAGUGGGACCAGUGAUCUAGAAAUCUAACCUCUCCUCCAUCUCCAUUGACUGAUUUUUCUUUGAGUGUGUAUAUGUGUAUUCCUGUGUGAGUUUAUGUGUACCAGAUUUGUGCAGGUGCCUACAGGGUCCAGAAGAGACCAUGAGACUCCUGGAAAUGGAGCUACAGGCAGUUAUGAUUUACCAUGUAGAUGCUGGGAGCUGAACUCGGUCCUCUGAAAGAGCUGCUAGUAUUCUUACUGCUGAGCCAUCUCUUCAGCCCAGAAGUAGAUGAUGUCUAAAAAAUUUAAAACCCUUUCAUUUAUUUGGCAGCAUUUUACCUAGGAAGAGCAAAAAACCUUCAGGGAAGGGAGCAGAGAGCACAGCUAGUCAGUGAGCAUCCCUGGUGCACAGUAACUAGACCAGGAAGGAUG